CAGUCGCCACGGUAAUACGAAGGGGGCUAGCGUUGCUCGGAUUAACUGGGCGUAAAGGGUGCGUAGGCGGGCGCUUAAGUCAGGGGUGAAAUCCCAAGGCUCAACCUUGGAACUGCCUUUGAUACUGGGUGUCUUGAGUCCGGGAGAGGUGAGUGGAACUGCGAGUGUAGAGGUGAAAUUCGUAGAUAUUCGCAAGAACACCAGUGGCGAAGGCGACACACUGGCUCAUUACUGACGCUGAGGCGCGAAAGCGUGGGGAGCAAACAGGAUUAGAUACCCGCGUAGUCCCUGUCUCUUAUAC
rnacentral:rRNA from 1 species